AUCGAUGAAGAACGCAGCGAAAUGCGAUAAGUAGUGUGAAUUGCAGAAUUCAGUGAAUCAUCGAAUCUUUGAACGCACAUUGCGCCCUCCGGUAUUCCGUUGGGCAUGCCUGUUCGAGCGUCAUUUGAACCUUCAAGCUUUGCUUGGUGUUGGGUGUUUGUUCUGCCUCUGUGCAUGGACUCGCCUUAAAUCUAUUGGCAGCCGGUACAUGGGCUUCGUGCGCAGCACACGCGUGGCGAUGAUCCCCUGUAGCUCCUUCCACAAGCCCCCUUUUUUUACUUUGACCUCGGAUCAGGUAGGGAUACCCGCUGAACUUAAGCAUAUCAAUAAGCGGAGGAAAAGAAACCAACAGGGAUUGCCCUAGUAACGGCGAGUGAAGCGGCAACAGCUCAAAUUUGAAAUCUGGCUCUUUUAGGGUCCGAGUUGUAAUUUGCAGAGGGCGCUUUGGCAUCGGCAGCAGCCUAAGUUCCUUGGAACAGGUCAUCAUAGAGGGUGAGAAUCCCGUAUGUGGCUGCUUGUCUUUGCCGUGUAAAGCCCCUUCGAUGAGUCGAGUUGUUUGGGAAUGCAGCUCUAAAUGGGAGGUAAAUUUCUUCUAAAGCUAAAUAUUGGCCAGAGACCGAUAGCGCACAAGUAGAGUGAUCGAAAGAUGAAAAGCACUUUGGAAAGAGAGUCAAAAAGCACGUGAAAUUGUUGAAAGGGAAGCGCUUGCAGCCAGACGUGCCUGUAGUUGCUCAUCCGGGGUUCUCCCCGGUGUAUUCUUCUAUAGGCAGGCCAGCAUCAGUUCGGGCGGUUGGAGAAAGGCCUGUGUCAUGUAGCUCUCUUCGGGGAGUGUUAUAGGGCAGGCGGAAUGCAGCCAGCUCGAACUGAGGUCCGCGCAUUCGCUAGGAUGCUGGCGUAAUGGCUGUAAGCGGCCCGUCUUGAAACACGG
rnacentral:rRNA from 1 species